GCGGAAGUGUUAGCAUUUCGGAAAGCACUCUCCCACACACAUCACAUCGGCAUCACCAAUAUCUGGCUUCACUCAGACUCUCUUUCGCUUGUCAAAACGAUCAACUCGAUUUCAAAGCCGAUGAACCUCUACAGAGCUCUAUCGGACAUCGAAGUUCUAUCAUCAUUUUUCUCCUUUUGAUGUAUUUCCUUUGUACCAAGAGAAAAAAAUGGAUCUUCUGAUAUGUUAGCUAAGGCUUGUCUCUUUCACUCUGUCACAACCUAGGCCUGAGGCCAUUUGAUCUUUAUAUUAUUAAGUUGUUCAAAAAAAAAGAGAAGAUCAAGACUCAUUCAGAGCUCUGUAUUGGAACUCCAGUUUUUCUACUCUAUUCUAUUUAUUCAUCUUAUUCAAAUUAUUGCUAUAUUUCGCUUUGCUAUGUCUGAGUGAUUUACUUUUUAGAUUUAGGGUUUAAAUAAGGUUAUGACGGAUUAGCCCAAACUAUAUAACUGCUAAGGUGAUAGACAUCCUUCAAGGAAUUUCUUGUAAUUCUUAUGUUUUGGAGUAGCUAACUAGAACCUUGAUUUUAGGAUUGUGGACAACUACGAUGGUAGGUUCUGCACCAUAACAGAUUCCCUUGAGCUAGGAUUGCUAGAAACAAGCGAUAGAUGAUUUAGUUAAGAGUAGUGAACCUAUCGAUCGACUCGCUAAAGCUUGCCUGAGGAAACAUCAAUCGACGCUAAUCUCAUAGCAACGAUCCACAUUCGAUCCGUAUCAACAAGCGGAAGCUGAGGUAUUGCACUUAGUCAAUAGGAAUUAUUCACAUGCGGAAGCGAGAAUACUUUUUCAUUAGAAUUCGAGUUCUAGGAUUGACAACCUAAGCAUUAUAUAUCACUAUAAUCUUGAUUACCUGAAACCCUAGAUCUAGCUGCUUUCUCAUCAUUGUUUACAAGCUCAAUCAAUCAAUCAACUGAACAAUUACCUUGUUCGCCUCUGCUGUUUAUUGAUUUACUCUGUUUGCCUAGCUUAAUCAUAAACUGAUUUGGAUCUAUUGUGUGCCCUAGCUCCUUAUGGAUUCAAUCCCGAAGUAUUUUGACUGAAACUCUUAUUUAAGAGAGUAAAAAUCACUCCUUGGGGUAAUUUAAGUGAUAUCAAAUUUGGCUCCGUUGCCGGGGAGCUUUGAUCGCCAUUAGAUCUUAUUAGUUAAAUUUAGUCUAGGUUUUCUUGUUGCUGAUUUUUUUCAUAAAUUGUUUUCUUGAUUUCUUUCAGGUGCAUGCUCAGCAGUACCAGAAGCAACAAGGAAUAUUUGUUGCUAUUCUCAGAUCCCACACGCUUAGAACGCAUAAUACACAAGGAGAAAUGCGCCGCAUCGAUCGACAACAAAUCAGACCCGUCGACUGACACUCGUGAGCUACCGCCGAUUGACACUUCUAUCCGAACAUUGAUCGACAUUCAUCCGCGAGAUAUGGUUGCGACUCUUGUUCUGAUGAGAGACGAGAAUGGAGACCUACAUGACCAUGAGGGUUAUCUGCGUAAUGCAGAAGGUUAUAGAUUAGACGACCUGGGGGCUGUAAUCCAUGAUCAUGAUGCUGAAACCACUGCAGCCAAUGCUAAGUCUAUAGGUGAUGAUAACAUACAUGCUGCUCGACCCAGAACGUUGGCUGACUACAACCGUCCAGAUCAAUAUUACACCAACAGGUCUGCUAUUCGUCCCCCAGCUAUCCAGAUGAACAAUUAAAAGCUGAGGCCUUAGUACAUUACACUUGUGGGACAAACAUCUUAUUGUGGUCUCCCACACGAGCAUCCUAUGGACCAAUUGGAGCGGUUCAAUGAUUUGGUUUCUGCCAUUAAAGCCAAUGGAGUCCCUGAGGACUAUUUGUUUUUCAAGCUCUUCAAGUACACACUCACUGGAGACGCUUCGCACUGGCUUAAGCAGUUACCACCAAGAUCUCUUACAUCCUGGACUAACAUCAAGACCACAUUUUUUGUUAAAUUAUUAUAUAUUUCAAUUACCUUUUAUUAAAGUUUAUGUAUUGAUAUACUAUGGAUUUUACCACUUUCAGACAAUGGUAUAUGACAUAUUUAUAGUAUAUUAUAUGUAUUUGGAGUAUAUUUUAUAGUGUUUUUAGGUUCGUGUAUAUUUUGGAGAACUUUGAUGAUUUUAGAGCUUUUUGAGGUGCAGAACUGCACAAACGCUUCAGAUGUCUAGCUAUGGAUGGAGACCUUCCCACAGUGCGAGUGAGCCCAUAUUUGACAAAGGAUAUAGCUUUUGGUUAGCUUCCCAAUGCCACCGGUUUGAGGUCAGUCAGCAUCCUAUAGCAGAAGUUACGUCCAAUUUACUGAAGAGUUGUACGUCUAUCUCGCGAGAGGAAGUUGUCGAGGAGAUGAGUGAUUGUCGAUCGACGACAGCCUUCGUGUCGAUCGAUGGUGAUCCCAGAAGACGGGCUGAGCCUAUUUCAUGACCGACUUAAGCCCAUACGUUACCACAAGUUAUCAUAAUAUCGCUGGAUGAUUCAGAACCCUACUGAAUGUAUUUUCUAAGCCAUUGUUGACUACUUCGCUUUUAUUAAUUACUCCAGUUUCAGGGUUGGAGAGAAGAUCAAUUCUCCUUCAUAUAUUGUUUGGAACUCCAUUGGUUUUACCUUUAAUUUAUAUUCUAUUAUUUAUAUAGACUAUGCUUUUUGUUUCUUCUAUCAUGUAUGUUAAAUUUAGGGAUUUUAUGAGCUUAAUAUCAUACUAAUAAUCUGUUACGAUUGGUAGGGUUGUUUACUGAUUUAUACACUAGGGUAGCUUGUAAUAAUAGGAUCUGGAAUAGUUAGAAUAGCACGGCAGUGUGACUGAUUGUUUGAACCUAGAAUCAUAGGACAAUUGAGAGGCACAAAAGUGCAAUUGAUUAACGGAACCCGAACCCUGAGUGAAUUAGAUACCUUAGGCGCAUACGACAGUUGGUCUAGAGUUUAGUUGAACAUAAUCGAUUAGAUCGUUAAUGCUUGUCUAAAGAAGCAUUGAUCGACACUCUGGCCAUAACAUCGAUCGACGCUCGCUCCUUGUUCACACGCAACAGCUGAAACAUAUGAUUUAGACAUCUGAUUAGUAAUUGCAUUCAGAAGCUGGAUUACUUACUUAUUUAAACAGAGAUCUAGAAUUGAACCUAUAAACCCCUUUGUAUCCUUGAUUUUAGUAUUGAAUCUCUUGAUUGAUAGAUCCCUAGAUCUAGCGUUUCUUCGUUAUUGUUUACAAACGUCAAUCAAUCAAUCGAACAAUUGCCUUAUUCAUCAUGCUAACUGUUUUAAUAUUGAUUGUCUAGCUUAACCUUAAUUGCUAAAGUCUAUUGUGUGUCCACGCUCCCUAUGAAUUUGUUUCUUAAAUACUACAACUUAAUCUCUUAUUUGAGAGAGUAAAGUUGCUCAAAGUGUAAUUUGAGUGAUAUCAUGUACUUUUAUAGUAUCUUGUACUAUAUACGUGGUAUUAUUCAAAAACUAACAUUAUUGGUAAUUUUUUAUAAUAUAGUAAUAACUCAUACAUUACAUUUAAUGUUGAUAUUUAUUUUUGGUAAAAUUUUUAGAAUAUGGUAACAAUUCAUACAUCAUCAUUAAAAUAAAUAUAUUCAAAUAUAACAUUAAAAAUUUGAAAAAUUAUUUAAUUUUAUCUUUAUAAUUAUACAACUUUUAUUACUAAAGCUUUCAAAAAGAAAUUACAGUUUUUCUAAAAAUAAAAUUUUAUCGUAAAGUAAUUAGUUUCUUAUAUAUCUACAAAUUUUAUAAAUAUUGUUUAGUUUUGAUUUGUGAUAAUUAUACAAUUUUAUAUCAAUUUUUCAUUAAUUUUAUACAAAUUGAUUUAAAAUAUAUUUAACCAAAAUAUAUAGAUAGAAAAAUCUAUAUAAGAUUAUAAUUUUAAAUAUAUACAUAUAUAUUCUUAAAUAUAAUUUUAAAUAAAUAAAUUAUUUUUAUCUUAAAUUUAUGUUUAAUUAAAUAAGAUAUAUAUUAAAAUAUUGGUAAAAAUAAUAAAAUCGAAAAACAUUAAUAAAAAAAUAUUUUUAAAUAUGAUUUAAAUUUAAAAACCAUUUACUACACAUGGUGCAUGAAAACACAUAGUAUCCUUGACUUCAAUGUCCUAUUUUAUAUAUGUUCCAGUUGAUUAGAGCAUUACUGUAUACUACAAAGGGCAAGCAAUAAAGUAGAUCAUUUAAUUUAUGAUAAUAUAGUAUACCAUAUAUGCUAUUGCUAGGUUGUCCAUACUAUUUAUGUUGCUACAUUUUCAAGAUAUACAUUUUUAGAUAUAAUUGGACCUUGACCAGUGCUAUCGGGCGAAUAUUUGUUUUCACAUUUAUAUACAUAGAUAAUUGUUUUAGGUCACUAGUGAUAUAUAUUUCUGGCAUUAAUCAUUUAUUUAAAUAUUUGUAUGAAUUUUUCAAACACAAAUUUCAAACCAUCACAUGUAUUUGUUGCUUUUUAUUAUAUAUUAUUUUAUCAUAUUUGUGUUUAACUAUUAGAUGAAUUGAUAUAUGUGUGAAAUAACAUAUUUGAAGAUUAUAUUGUUUUUAUCCUAUAUAUUAUUUAAACUAAAGUAUUACCGGCAUAUUUUAUAUUUCAACUUAUAAGUAAUAAUAUAAAUAAUUAAUUAUUUACUAAUUUUAUUUACAUAUAUGAUAAUUUUAAAAUAUUUUUAUUGUGAUUUUCCUUAAUAGGACCAUUUUAGGUUUUCAAAAAUGGUUUAUUUACCAAAUAUUGAAAUAUUCUUAGUAGAUAUUUUCACUUUAGCAUACAUUAAUAGUACAUGAUUUUAAAAAAAUUUCGUAAACAUAGUAAACUCAUGAUUUAAUUAAGAUAUUAAUAAGAUAUUAUGUGAUUAUAUUCAUAUUUCAUUAUAAAACAUAUUCAUAUAUUGUUAUAUAUACAAGAAGUAUAACUAUUUUAACAAAGUAAAUGCUGAAAAUGUAUUUUAAUAUUUAUAUAUAUAUUGGUAAUUUGUUAUCUGGAUUAAAUCAGGACAAUUCUCUCAAAUCGUCAUUUUUAUAUUUUUGUCACCAAAAUAGCCAUAAAAAACCAAAAUAGUCUGUUUUUAUUUUUUAUUAUUAAUAUUUAAUUAUUUUUUAAAAAAAUUGAAACUCCACUAUCAAUAUCCCACCCAUUAUUUACCAUUUAAUAAAACUUAUUUUGGUCAAAUUUUUCUUUGAAGAUUAUUUUUGUGAAAAUAAACUAGAAAAAACAUCCUAAAAAUUUUCUCUUAAAAUUAUAAUUGAUAAAUGAUUUUCAACAACUUAUAUAAACUGCUCAUCGUAUAUUCAAAUGGUAGGUCAAUAUUGCAUCUAUCUACAUCUUUUGCAUCUAUAAACUGAAACUAAGUUAGAAAUAUGUGAUCUUUAUCUAUAAAAGGUGGGGAAUUGCCAAAAAUAGCACUUUUGAGAUACCACUUUUCAUUUAUACCUUAAUCAAUUUUACCAUUAAAAUUUUAAUUGGCAAAGUACCUUUAUACCCCUAACUAAUUAAACCUAAGACUAACUCUUCUCUCCUACAUCUCAUGAUAAUUAAAUCUCAUCAUCUCAGAUUCAAAUCGGCGACGGAUUUCGGCGGUGACGAGCUCCGGCGAGAUUGGACGACUCUGCAGAGUUGUCCGGCGAGAUCCGACGAAGCUACGGCGAGAUUCGAUGAAUCUACGAAGAGAUCCGACGAAGCUACGGCGAGACGUACGAAGCUGCGGCGAGAUCCGACGAAGCUACGGCGAUCUCUCUCACGACGCUAAGAAACGCUAACAAAGGUUAUGAUGAUUGAACCAACGACGCUCCAGUGACCAUAUCCAAUUGAUCCGACCAAAUCUCGCUCUGGUGAACACCAACAAGCUCCGGUGAACACGAUCGACAAACUUAAAGAUAGUUUGUGUCAGUGGAUUUGAUUUCCGAGUUCAAGUGAGUAAAUUAGUUCAAUUGAAUCUAUAUUUUGAAGAUCGACGAGGUUGGUGAGCUGUUUGAAGAAGUAAGAGGGACUCAGAACAAGGACGUGGUUUGUGAGAUCAAAGAAUUGCAGAUUUAUAAAGCUUUAUAAAAGUUGCAGAGUUGGCUUCUUAACACCAUCUUCUCUCUCAUCUUCUUCAGACAUCUCUUAUACUAAAACAAUCGUAUAUCUCUCCUAAGACUUGCAAAUUUGAAGAGGUUAGUUGGACGUCUAAGUGAGUUUGGCUGCAAUCGUUUUUUUUUUUCAAAAUAGAAGAGUGUGAUGUAGAGAAACCUUGAUGUUCUCAGAUUAUGUUUGAAAUGACAACUUUUGGUUGAGAACAAGGAAUUAUCUCUAAUGUUCAGAUGAGAGCCUUAUAUAGUCCUUUCAGCUCAUAGUCUUGCUCUUUCCAUGAAAUGGCCUGUUAUUCUGUGGCUAAGUAAUUGAGACUACUCAUUUUUACUACAUUUUGUUUCUUGUAAUAGAAAUCAAGCUUGGUUAGGUUGACGUUGAAUGGUCUAGAUUUUGUGCCAAUAUUUUAUGUGACCAAAUGGGUUACAUGAAGGGAAACUUAUACGGAAGAGAGAACAAGAAGAGAAAUAACACAUUGUACCAGAAUUCAAGUAAAGAAACAUGUCGUUCAGAUGUUUUUAGUGUCUAAAUUAUGAAGGUAAGUAAGGAUUCCAUAUCAAAUGAUUAAAAUACAGACAAAAGAUAUACUUUAUAAAGCCAUGAACAAACAAAUUGUUUAUAUACCCUCUAUAAAAAGUUUAUAGAUUCUUUAUAAAUAAUUUAUAUACCCUUAUAAAUGGUUUAUAAAAUUUAUGUAUUGUCUUUAUAAACAUUUAUAAAUGAUUUAUAAACAGUUAUUAAUUAUUUACAUAUAAAUCCUUAUAAACUAUUUUACAUACUCUUAUAAAUUGUUUUAUAAGCCUUUAUAAAUGGUUUAUAGACUCUUACAAAAAAUUUGUAAACCUUUUUAAAAGGUUUAUAAAAUUCAGAAAUUGUUUUUAGUAAAUUUUAUAAAUGAUUUAUAAACUCUUAUUAAUUAUUUAUAUAUCCUUAUAAACCCUUAUAAACAAUUUUACAAACUCUUCUAAUUGUUUUUAUAAGUCCUUAUAAAUUACUGUAGACUCUUAUAAAUGAUUUAAGAGACUUUCUAAUUGGUUCCUAAACCUAUAAACCUUAUAAAUUGAAUCCAUAAACUAUAUUAAUUGCUUAUAAACUUUCAUAACGUUUUUAUAAACAAUUAUAAAUGGUUUAUAGACUUUAUUAAUUGUUUUAUAAUCCUUUAUAAAUUGUUUUGAGACUCUUACAAAUAAUAUAUAAACCUUUAUAAAUAGCUUAUAAACUUUACAUACUGUUUUAUAUAUUUUUAUAAAUUAUUUAUAAACUUUUAUUUGCUCUUAAGCUUUCUUUUCUCUUCAUUUUUAUCUUCUUUCAUGUGUUAUUACCCUACAUCAUAUGCUGCAAAAACUAAGCCACAAAUCUUCGUUCCCAUUAGCUUUUCUUCUUUUUAUAUCCUUGUUGACUAAUUGCACAACAAUGUAAAAAUCCAUGUCAUCAAGAUCAGGAUGUGUUGGGGUCACCAAAUAUUUGUAUUCCUCAGAGAAUCCAAAUAAUAUAUUAACAACAAGAUGUAACAAAGAAUAAACAACAUAUUAUAAGUCUCUCUAAUUUAUAAAUUUAUAAACACCUAUAAAACUACAUUUAUAAUCUUUUAUAAAACACUUAACAUUAUUGACCAAGACACCGAUUGGAUAAUCACUUUUGGAUUGUCUAGUGGUUCUGUUCCAACUUCAUAAAUCCUUGGAGGCAAUCAUGAAGAUGUGCAAGAUUCAUUGCUAUCUAACUGCAAGACGAAAUAAAAAGAUGAUGUUAACUUUUAAUCGUGGUCUAAAGAUACCUUAUCCAAGCAUAAUGUUCAUGUGUUUCGGUAACAGUCUUACAAAUAACACAGCACAAGACUUCUCGAGUUCACACGUUUAUAUGUUGUUCUAUAGACAUAUAUGAUGAAUUCUUGUUUAUGAACUUCUUUUAUAAAACCUUGUAAAUCGUUGAGCUGUAUUAUCAACAAUAUCCUAAAAUACAGAUUUAUAAAGGGUUAUAAUUCCUUAUUAUGCAGUGUACUAUCGGAAAAUCUCUCUCUUAGCCGGAACUAUUCAGAUGACAAGUCCAAAUCAACCGUAUUCUAUUUUUGGAUAAACAGAAGGAAGAAAAUCCUAAAAUUACUUGAAACCCAGAUUUAUAAAGGAUUUUAAGUUGUCAAAAAACUCAAUGUUCACUAUCUAAACUGUUUCUCUUAAAUCGACAUGUUCAAAUAAGAAGUCUAAAGCAAAAAUGAUAUGAACUUAAUAAAAGGAAGAUA